ACUGACAGCCAUGGUUACCGCGGCUGCUGGCACGGAGUUAGCCGGUGCUUCUUCUGUGAGUGAUGUCCUUCCUGCCGGUUAUUGACCCGCAGGCCUUCUUCCUCACUGAAAGUGCUUUACAACCCGAAGGCCUUCUUCACACACGCGGCAUGGCUGGAUCAGGGUUGCCCCCAUUGUCCAAUAUUCCCCACUGCUGCCUCCCGUAGGAGUCUGGGCCGUGUCUCAGUCCCCAGUGUGGCUGAUCAUCCUCUCAGACCAGCUACGGAUCGUCGCCUUGGUGAGCCGUUACCUCACCAACCAGCUAAUCCGACAUAGGCUCAUCCGAUAGCGCGAGGCCCGAAGGUCCCCCGCUUUCCCCCGUAGGGCGUAUGCGGUAUUAGCCUGGGUUUCCCCCAGGUUAUCCCCCACUACCGGGCAGAUUCCUAUGCAUUACUCACCCGUCCGCCGCUCGCCACCAGGGAGCAAGCUCCCCGUGCUGCCGCUCGACUUGCAUGUG
rnacentral:rRNA from 1 species